GAGGAAUGAUGAUGCAGAGAGGUUUCGCUUAAUGAGCUGAUGUCCUGUGAUGUCACAUCUUCUCUUGGCUGUCUGACCAA